GAUGAAGAACGUAGCGAAAUGCGAUACGUAGUGUGAAUUGCAGAAUUCAGUGAAUCAUCGAAUCUUUGAACGCACAUUGCACCUCUCGGUAUUCCGGGAGGUAUGCCUGUUCGAGCGUCAUUUGUACCUUCAAGCUCUGCUUGGUGUUGGGUGUUUGUUCCGCCUCUGUGUGUGAACUCGCCUCAAAACAAUUGGCAGCCGGCGUACUUGUUUCGGAGCGCAGCACAUUUUGCGAUCCAGAUCAACGUACAGCGGCAUCCAAGAAGCCUUAUUUAACGCUCUUGACCUCGGAUCAGGUAGGGAUACCCGCUGAACUUAAGCAUAUCAAUAAGCGGAGGA
rnacentral:misc_RNA from 1 species